rnacentral:tRNA from 1 species
GAUUAUGAUUGUAGAUGGUCUACACUUUGACUGCAAAUCUUAAGUUUGAGGUUCGAUUCCUCCAUAAUCU